CUUUGGUGUCACGUCGGUCGGUGUUGCACCAGCCUCUCGAACUGGGGGGCCUGGGGCCGUGGCAGUGCCUCCAGCGGGGAGUUGUGGCCGCGGGAAGGCUCAGUCCCCCCUAGCUCUCGGAGCCCCGGCUGCCCUCUCCCAGCCCCCGGGAACACCGAGCUCCGAGUCCCUGCUCCUGUGCUGAGCGCGGGGCCUCGGCCGGCGGCGGCUCUGCACGUGCCCGCCAGGCUGGAGAGGAUGCAGCGAGCCCGCCUGCGUCGGCUCGGAGGGGCCACAGAAGACGCGGGAGGCAGGAUCGUGGCCCCAGGAGAUGUCCCCAUGCUGAUCCCCGGAGCCUGACGUGGCCACAGGCUCCUGAGGCGGGGCGUCGUCCUGGGUGGCCAGGGCCAGGCCUACACGUGGCUGCAAGUGUCCUGGCGAGAGGGGGUGGAGAGAGCUGACUGUGGGAGAGGAAGGAGCGGCUGAGAUGAUGGGAGCAGGACGCUGGAGGGACACGCGGAGGGUCACUCGACACGGGACGCAGGUGGCCUCCCGGCGGGAAAGGCCGAGCCGGUCCCCUCCAGGGCCUCAGAGGGCACAGCCCUGCCGGGGCCUCCUCCAAUGUGGAAGCCGGUUUAGGACUGCCGACCUCCAGCCUGGAGGAGAAUAAAUCCGUGUUGUUGAAGCCGCUAAAUUUAUGGCAAUCUGUGACAGCAGCGACGGGAAGCUCACGCUUUUUAUUUUCUACGGAGGUUCAAAAUUUAUUUAAAAAGUUGUUUAAAAGAGUAUAAAAGGUAACUUUUUCCUCUUGCUCGUGUUCAUACGCGGGGUUAACAAAAUAGGGAUUACGACGUAAGCAGAUUCCAGAGCUCGCCCUCCCCGUCCCCACUCUAAGAGUCAGAGACACGAGGAGGAGUCGCGAGUCGCCCACCUCAGGACUCUGACCAGCCCGGCGCGGUGACGGCCGGGAGGAGAUGUUCCGUGAGUAUCAGGGAGGGGCUGUGGGUCUGGUAAUCGUGUUUCUCUGAUGACUGGCGUGCUGCUGUCUCCCUCGCUAGACCAGAAGCUUCCUGAAGGCAAGUUGGGGUCAAAUUUUCUCACUCUGUCUCCGUCUAUCCAGGGUCUACUCGGUGCUCAAUAAAUGUUUGUUAAACGAAUAAUUGAUCACAUAUUCUUUGUCAGCAGCUGGGCUAGUGAAAAUGAGACAAAAAUAGGUAGUUCCCACAGUCGUGGGGUUCUGGAUCUAGUAAGGGAAAUAAAAAAGGAUGAUGAUAAAGCAUGCUGAGCACUUGCCACGAGCUGGGUGUUACAGGCACGUGGGACAUCUCAUUUAUUCCGCAGACAGUUCUAAGAGGCGCUCGUCAGGUCCCUGCCAGGGAAGCUCCAGCGGGGGUCCUGGGGAGAGGAAGAGCAGGGAUGAUGUCCAGACGGGUGGACGGGGCUGAGGGAGCUGCAGGAGGUGAGGCCAGCAUCACAGGGUUCCCCUCCUGCCCCUAGGCCUGAGCGGAGGGACGGGCAGCGCGCCAGUCAGACAGCAGGCAGGCAGAACUGCAGAGAUGGCCACACCCUAGUUCCUGGCGCCUGACCCUGUGGGGCCACAUGGCCGAGGGGAGCACAGGCCGGGGGUGGAAUCGAGGCUGCCGGUCGGCCGCCCCGGAACUGGCAAGGUUGUCUUGGCUCAUCGGCUGGGCUCGAGGAGGGGAAGAGGGAGGCGGGAGCUGAGGGUCAGAGAGCUCUGAAGACGGAGGCAGGGCCCCGAGCCGAGGCUCUGGGCGGCGUUUAGGAAAAGGUGAGCGAAGGCGUCUCCCCUGGAGCCUCCAGGAGGAUCAGAGCUCAGCCGACAGCUCGGCUCCAGCCCAGUGGGACCCACUGCAGACGCCUGACGUCCGGAGCCGUAGGAUCGCAGACGGGAGCUGCUGUCAGCCGCCCAGCCUGCGGUCGCCGUCUCUGCGGCGACGGGAGACUGCGAUGUCGGAAGGCUUAAGAAAGGGCUGCGCGGGGGGAUGUGGGGCCUUCAGGAGAGGGACACGGCCACCACCAGACCUCACCCUGCAGGCUGGGAGCCGGGGGCAUAAGUACCCCCACUCUCCUCCACGCUCCCUUCUGUUCUGGUGCUGCCCACUGGUCAGCCCCAACCGGGGGCCCGAGGGUCGGGGUCUGCUCAUGGUGCUGGCGCGGGCCAGCCCAGCAGACACGGAGCGACGAGGAACAGCGUGACGUCAUUGCAAGUAACCACCUACAUUUAUGACUGGGGCCUAGGGGGCUCAGAGAGGGCGAGUUCCUUGCUUGAGGACACUCAGCUAACAAGUGGCAGAGCCAGGAUUUGAACCCGGGACCGCCCGGCUCCCGAGUCCCAGCUCUCCGCCACGACACUGGGGAGGAGAGCGUGUUGGCACCGCGAGCCAGUCACAUGAGAAUGCGACGUGUAUGCGCGUGAGUGUGUGUGUGUGGGCGUGUGCUUGCCGCUCACACGCCCACCCAGCGCGCCCCAUCCCUGGGGCGUGUGUUUCUGGGGGCGUCCUCUUUUCUCCCGUCUCUGUUCCCCCAGCAGGUUUCAAAGGCAGCGAGUGAUGAAAUGACACUUUCGCUAAACAGCACCGUCUCCACCGCCUCGCUCGCUCGCAGCCGCUGUGUCUCCUGGGCGCGUGCAGCUCGGGUGGGGGCGUGGGAUGGCUGCUCCCUGCCGGCGCAGCCGGGGUGGGCGAGGCAGACGCCGCUUCUGGGAGGCCGGGUGCCCUCCGUGGGCCCUGGGGAGGGGGCGGAGGCCCUGGGGGCCGUGGAAGCGCCCAGCACACGCCGCAGCAGGCCGGGACACAACAAGGGGUCUGCAUGGAACGGGCAAGCGCGACUGCUUGUGUCGGUGUCGUAGCGGCCCCGUUCUCGGGCUCUGUGGUUUGGAGACUCUCCUUGAACUUGGAUGAAGGAGAAAGGAUUCAGUGCAGAAAGACUGACCGCUCGUAAUUCCAGUCCAUCCCCUCGCAACCGCAGAGCUCUCGCCACACGCAGCAGAGAGCAAUAGAAUUGCUUGUGAUGAAGCUGAGGUCGAGGGCAGGUCCGAAGCCCGCACCUGGCCCCUGGGGCUCAGCGGGUACCCCUCUGUGCCACUCUGGCCCCCCUCACUGUGCCCCAGCCUUCAGCCCCUCCCACACCCCAGCUGCUUUCCAGCUGGAACGUUAGCACACGCUGGUCCCUCUGGUGAAAAUGCUGUUCCCUGCUCUCCUGGGGAAAGCCAUGAUUAACCCUGCUCAUCUUUCAGGACUCAUCUUGAAAACCAGUCCCUCUGGGUGCAGACCGGAGUCAGGCUUAGGGGCUUGUGGAGUCAGACCACCUGGGUUCGAAUCCCAGCUCUGCCGCUGGAACUGUAACCUUGGGCGAGUUCCUGAAGCUUGUGCCUCAGUUUCACCAUCUGUGAAAUGGGGACAGAAACAGCACCGACCUCCUGGCAUUGCUCAGACGACGGAGUGAGGGAGUUAAAGCGCGGAGAGCGCGGCCUCGGGUGUGUAGGAGAGAGGAGUGCAGACGGCGGUCACUCCCCAAUCCCUUCGUGUGGGUCUCCCUGUUCCGGCGCCUUCCUGGAACCAGGUGCUGCCCCGUGUGGCAACCGCCCGUUUCAUCUCCACCUUUCCCGCUUGUCCGCGAGCCCCUGGGGACAGAGGUCACGUGUCUUGCUCUCCGUGGCCCUGACAGUGUAGCCUCAGGUCCGGCACAUAGUAGGUGCUCCAUAAAUAGAUGCUCCAAGCAUGCUGGGCCCCCUCCCCUCCUGGAACGGAGCACACAGUUCCGCCCAGCACCCGGGCAGGAGGUGGCCCUCGGCAGCGCCUGCACCCACGGCUUGCAUGAGGACCUCGCGGCUCCCAUCGUCGUCAGCACCCGCUGUGGCUCUGUAACUGUUGCCGAUCUGCUGGCGUGAGCCGUGGUCGUGGCUUCCCCGCUCACUGAGAGCCCCCGUCGCAGCCUCAGCCUGUGGGGAUCUUGGGAUCGGGAGCUGCGCACCUGGCCUGGAGACCCGACUCUUUGCGACAGGACCUGAAGCGGGGGACUCAUCCUCUGUGCCUCAGUUUCCUCGUCUGUGAAGUGGGAGUGACAACAGCACCUCCCCAGGGUUCAGUGAGUUCGUCUGUGUGAAGAGCCUGGCACGGAGCCUGGUGCACAGCGGGUGCUCCGGGAGAAGCGACUGUGUUUUUAAAUAUCGUUGCUCCACCCGGGGCUGGGACACUUGCUUUUCUGUCCCACCUGAAGAACCGUGAGCUCCUCAAAGGCUGUGACUCCCCGGUUUUUGCCUUGGCCUCCCCAGCUCUUGGGCACUCAGGAGUGCGAAUGUUUGUUGAUUGAAUUACUGACUGACUCGGGCUGCACCCUGUGUGAAAAGCAUUCAGAUCUAAAGGUUGGUGAGAUGAGGUUUGACCCCUUUGGGGCUGCAGCUUCCCCGGGGGAGCGGGCAGUGCUGGGGCCACUCCCUGCAGAGCUGGGAGCAGCGAUCUGGGCUGCCCACCAACAGCCCGUGAGGAUCUGAGGUUGCUGUUGUGGGGAGACUUGGGUCGCCUCAAAUUCCUGCGUUGGAGCCCUGACCCCAGUUCCUGGGAAUGUGGCUGCUUUGGAGACAGGGCCUCUAAAGAGGCAAGAGUUAAAAUGGGGCUGUUAGGGUGGGCCCUGAUCCAGUAGGACCGGUGUCCUCAGAAGAUAAGGAAGAGAGAGCAGGGAUGCGCGCAGAGGGAAGACCGCGGAGGACACGGGGAGGGUGCGGCUGUCUGCAGGUCAACGAGAGAGGACUCAGGAGAAAGCAGCCUGCUGCCCCCGACCUCCGACUUCCAGCCUCUGGAACCGUGAAACAACACAUUUCUGCUAAGCCACCUGGUCUGGGGUCUGUUGCUGUUGCGGCCUGGCUGACAUCCUCGCGAGACCCAAAAGCAGAGCCCCGGGUGCAGCCGCUCUGGAUCCCUGACCCGCAGAAGCCGCGUGAGAUCGUCACUGCUUAUUUAUUGCUGGCUUCAGCCGUCAGGUUUCAGCUCUUUGGUUUCUCUACGUGGGAAACGAAUCCACCGGCUGUGACGGAGCCGCGUCCAGCCCGCAGGCUGGGCCUCCCCGCGGCACACGGGCACGGAGCUUGGACGGAGACGGAGGCGCGGGUUCUGGCCGCCAUGUUUGCUGCUUAAUCAACGGCCAGUGUCUGCCUGGCCCGUAGCUGAUGCUCAGCAAACUCUUGAUACCGACGAAUGACGAACCCGGAGCCCUGUGGGCGCCUCCUGGGCACAUGGCGCUUAAUCGGGACGAUUUUCUUUUUGGGACUAUUUUUAAAGUCCUGCAAGGAAAGACACUGGAAACUCCCUGAGCGACUUUUCUAAACGUCUAGCCGCCCUUGGAGUGGUGAGUUUUUCCCUCACGCCCAACCCAGCUUUCACCAGUGCAGCUAAAACGCCCUUGCUUCUCUCUUCGGUUUUGUUUGUUUAAUUCCUGUGACCAGACACCUGUUGGGUCCUCCCCCGUCGCCAUGCCUUUGAGGCGAGACUGUGGGCUGGGAGCCGGGCCUGAGUUCCGGUUCCUUCCCAUCACUGGGCUUCCGUUUUCCCGGCACGCAGUGAGGGCCAGGGGCUGGACUGGGCACCGCCAGGAGCUUUUAUCCUGUGCCCGGUCCCAGCCACCGGGCGAGGCCGCCUGGAGGUCCAGGCUGAGCGUCCUGAGGUCGUGUGCAAGCUCGGCGGAGAGAGAGCUGGGAUCCAUCAGUGACGUCUGCCCGGGACACUGUGUGGCCAUCAGCUCCGGCCCUUCAUCACAGCAGAGGGAACGGGGAUGUCUCCAUGGGGCGGUGCCCCCGGCUACCUGGGGGCGGAGGAAAAAUGGCCGUGAGCCCAGCCUGUGGAGAGGCCUCUGGGAAGAUGUCUCCCCGUGAAGGUCAGGACAGGGCCACCAGAGGUGAGCCCCUCAGGGAGAGAGCACAGUUUCUCACCCAUUGCCACAAAAUAGGAGAAAGUCGAGGAGGACGUGCUCGUGACAGCACAGCAGUGUGGAGUCCGGCCAUGAGUGCCUUCCGUCUCAACCCCUCUGCUCCACAGCCUGCGGGGCUGGGGUGGCACGAGCUCGCCAGCUCUCGGGGCCCCUCUCCCCGUCGCUGAGACCGGACAUUUCUGACGACUGGGGGCUGGCGGAGCGUAAGUGGCAGAGCGUUUUCUCGGUGGCGCGUGACAUCGCGGAGCAGCCCGCCUGGAUGGAGCUUGUGCUGAUGAAACACGUCUCGUGACACCCACUUUCCAGACGAGGAACCCAGGGCCCCGGAGGCUGGCCCGGCCCGAGGCUGUGGCCUGGGGAGUGGGCAGUGUGGGCAGCUCCCGACCCUGGCCUUGGAGAGGCUGGCGCUCGCUGCGUGUGCACGAGCCAGAACUGCCAGGCGCCAGCACCCCCUGGGGCGCCCGAGAUGCGCCAGGAAUGCGUCCGUGACCCAGCAUGCACGGAAGGGGAGGGGACAUGACACGGCCCCGGGCAGCAUGACUGGCUGUCUAUUCAUCGCCCGGGUGAGUAAUGGCCUGGCGGGUCCCAGCAGUCCCCUUGGCAGCCAACAGAUCUUUAUCUUCGGAGGCAGAGAGGCGCCUGGCCGUGGACAGGUGAGCAUCCACGUCUGCUUCUGCGGGGGCCCUGUGGCCGGGAAGCAAGGGGGCUGGGCCGGCUCUCUGUGACCACCGUCCUGAGGCUGGAGCCCCUGAGUUAGGCACGUGACCAGCGACCAGGAGGUGCCAUUUGUGGCCUGACCCCAGGAGACCAGGAGGAGGGGGCUGCAGAGCCCUGAAGUCAGGACCGCUAAUCCACCAUCUGUCCCCUCUCACCCCUGACUCCAGCGAGGAAGAACAAGGCCGAGAGAAGCACGCUGAGUAGCUAAAAGCAAAAUUGGGCCGAGAGAGCUGAGUGUUGGAGAUCCUUUAUUGAUGUGUCAUUUGCACCCCUGUGGUCCCCGGAGGUGACAAGGUCUUGUGUGUACAGCCCGCCUGGGAGCUGAUGGUUCUGGACCCCGGAAGGCAGGAACGAAGAGGGGUGCUGAGGGCUGGACGACACCGGAGCCUGGACGCGGCUGGGCUGGGGCUCCUGGACCUGGGGCCAGGGACGUUGUCGGCCACUUUGGAGACGGUUUGGAGGGUUCUACUAAGGCUGAGCUUUGCCUGCCCUCCAGCCCAGCAAUUCUGCUCCUCGCUUUGCACCCAGCACCCAUAUUUCCUGAGGGAGCAUCCACUCGUGCGCUGACCAAGGCUCUCUCCACAGUCGCCCAGGCAGCCUGGAUGUCUCUCAGCGGGAAGACAGUGAGUAAACCGUGCGGUUCAAGAUGCAAUACGAUGGCGAUGAACGAGCCGCCUGCACCUGCAUCACCGGUGUAGAGGGAGCCCGUGAGUACCAUGUCAGCCACGAAAGCCAGACACACGAGCGACUGCUCUAUGAUUCCACUCAUAGAAAAUGCAAAAACAGCCAAGAUUCGGCUGCGGGGAUGGAGCUCAGGAUAGUGGCAACCUUUGAGGAGAGUGGUGGGGUCGUGGCUGGGGAGGGGUGAGAGGGCUUCAGGAUGCUUCAGAUCAUGUUGUCUGGGUGUUGACCACAAGGAUGUGCUCACUUUUGGAAGUAUAGUGCUCUGUGUACUUCUGAUUCACGCACUCUUUGUAUGUAUCUUAUAUUUCAACAAAAAUGUUGGGGACAAAAGAGAGACACAAGGUCAAGAGAGGUUCCUUUUCUUCUGUUAGACAUUGCUGUGUUUGCCUAACAUGCCGGAUCUGCAGCAGCCAUUUUGUGACCAUGGGACAAUUAACCGAGCACAGAGCAAGGGCAGCACAGUAGAAAGAUGGAAGUUCCUGGGUUCUUUGUGACUGUGCUGAGGCCCUGGGGAGGGGGGUUCUCGGCACCCUCCUUGAACCCGGGUGGGCCUUUGUGACUGCUUCGACCAGGGGGUGCAGAGGAGGUGAAGCUGUAUGACUUUGCAGCUUGGUCAUAAAAGGUGGUCUCACCUCCACCUGCUCUCUCCCGGGACACACUCGGGACACCCGGCUGUGAACCACAGAGUGAGAAGGCUGGCUUUCCUGAGGCCGCCAUGCUGGAAGGAAAACCUCCAGAUGGGGGGAGACACGAGGUGCGCCAGCUGUUUGUCUCCCCAGCCCAGGUGCCAGGCACGUGAAUGAGGAUGGCCUUCAGAUGAUCCAGCGUGACCACCAGGACCUCCAGCCGCAGCCGCCCAGACCCCUUGAGCUCGAGAUGCCCGCAGAGCCACUCUCGAAUUCACAGCUCACAGGAACUUGAGGCCAUCAAUGAUGCCUGUGUGUCAAGGCCCUAAACUAGGGAUGGCUGCACGGUCACAGAUGACGGUGCACCACCUCCAUUCUGAGCCCUCGCCAGACGAUGGCACACGUCUCCUUCAUCCCUGAAGCCAGGGCUCGGUCAGCAAACUUUUCCCAUAAAGGACCAGAUAGUGAAUAUUUCAGGCUUUACAGACCAGACGAUCGCCUGCCAGACAGCACACAAACGGAUGGGCAUGACUGUUCCAAUAAAACUUUAUUAACAAAAACAGAGAGCCGGGCCCUGAGCAGCAGCUUGCUGACUCCUGGUUGGAGGCAUUUUUGAGUUAGAUUUUCUGUUCCUUGCAGCCAAAAGCAUCCCGUUGGUGACCACAACUGUCCAGAGAACUCAGGGCUGAGGGCAGCCGUGAGGUGGCCUGGGUGUGUGUGCAUGGACUGUGGGUGUGUGUAUGUGGGCUGUGUGGGUGUGUGUGCAUGGACUGUGGGUGUGCAUGCACGGGCUGUGGACGUGCACGCAUGAGCCCUGGGUGGGCCCACCCUUCCCACACCUUAUCAGCAUCUUAUCAGCUCGGCCAGGAGGGCUGACACCCCUGGCUGAGGGCUCUGGCAGCCCCCUCACCCCAGCCCCCCUUUGCUCCCGGCUGGCUCUGGAAUCUCCGACUGCUCCUCGAUGGACGCUCGGUCAGGCAGGCAGGAAUGUGAGCGCGUCCCGCAGCCAGGGAACCUACAGCUACAGUCCGGCGGGACCGCGUGGAAGAGAAGCGAUGAAUGACGGACAGAUGCGCCCCCCCACCCUCCGCCGCCUCCGCUGGGCCUGUGGGACCUGCUUCCCCACCAGCAGUGAUGACGCAGGACCGAGGCCUGCUCAGCGUUUACACACCUGGGACGUCGUGAAGAACUCUCAGAGGUGCACGUUCUAUUAGCCCAUUUCACGGAUGGGGACAGGGCAGCCAGAGAGGGGGAGUCACUGACCCCAGGACACACAGCAGGAGCAGGAUUCCCGUCCUGCCUGGCUACUCCGCGCCAUGCCGUGAACACUGGUCUGGGCCCAGAGUAGGACCCACCACAGAAAGACAUGCUCAGCUGCGUCCCCAGCCCAGGGGUGCUCAGACCGCCAGUCUCUGCCCUCCGGUCCCGCCUCCGCCCUCCCUCCUGGCCAACCCUGCCCGGCCCCUCCUGCAGGGCCCUGUCUGCCCGGGCGGCAGGGGCUCAGGUGGGCGACAGGGCUGCCUCUUUGCUCGUUUGUCGCGAUGGCGCAGGUGAGCUGCUGUGAUUUCGUCGUUUAGAUUAACGGUUUCGCUCCCGGGCACAGUCAUUAGUGAGCAGUUGGGCAUUUAAUGAUUCCGCAGGCAACGUCAAGGGAAAUAUCCCCCCGGUAAAUCCUUACAAAGGCCUGGAGGCUAGGGGGCUGCCUGAGAGGGAGGUGCUGCUGUCUCUGCACACAGACUGGGUGAGGACGGGGGAAACCCUGGCCUGUUCAUCAGCCCAGGGCCAGCCGCCAUGCUGGGUGACGUGGGGGCGCAGCAAGGGGGCUUCUGACAGCCUGGACCUCCCAUCCCAUCCUGUUUCUCUGGGUCCCUGCUGGGGACUUACUCUCCCCUCCCCCCUUUCUCUAGGCUGUGCCUCGUCUGUGCCUGGCACACAGUAGGCGCUCAAUAAAUGCUCGUUAAUUGAACAAAUGGACAGAGAUUGCAAACUUGUGGCCCCUAGGUCAAGUCCAAUGACAGGUGUAUGGAAUUGAGCAGCAUGAAUGAGUUGCUACCAUCUGAUGAGGAGGAUGUUUUAUAUGCAUCUAAACUUCCAGCUUCUAGAAAAGUCUAGAAAAGUUAGGAUUCUGGGCCAUAUUAGGUCAUAUUCCCAUGCAGUAAUAAUUGUUGGAGGUGACUGUGGCCACCCUCUCUAUUGGGGUGUGGGCUCCAAUUUGCCACAGUCUCCACCACUCCCUGUUGUCUCCCAUCAACCACACUGCUCUCACGUAACCUGUCUGGCCCCAGGAGCGUUUGUGUUUGGUGCUCUUGAUUUUAAAAGUCCCCCCUAGUGGCUUAACACGGCAGAGUCUCUUGCUCACACAAUAGUUUGGGGUUCGUGGUCAGGGCAGCCUUAGGGGGAGGGGGGCUCUCCUUCCUCACAGUCAUUCACACCUCAGGCUCCUGCCAUCUUGUGGUUCCACCGUGUCCCUGAGCUUCAUUGCAACGGCAGCUUCCAGUUGGUGGAUAAAGAAAGAGGUGGAGGAGCAUAGACGGAUCAGCCUGCACGUCACUGAACUCAGCCCCCAGGGGCCAGAGCUCGGUGACGGGGCUGCUGCUCACAGCACAGGAGGCUGGGAAGAGCCAUCCUGCUGGUCACCCCGAGGACAGGAGAGCAGACCCUGAGGGGCAGCUGGUGCUGUCCGCCCCGUCCUCUGGCCUCUUUCUCCAGCCCGGGAAGCCAUCGCCUCCUCCUGGGCUUGCAGUCUGGCUACUCGUUAUCCAUGUUUCUCCCUAAUCUAUCGUUCAGGGCGCCAGCUCGGUGUCUGCAGCUCCUUGCGGCUGAGCCUGUGCAGCUCAAAAUGCCUGGUUCUUGCCAUUCAAAAGCUUUGGCUUCUGAAAGGAAACGGCCUUUUUUGAUGCUUUUCUGUUCUCUUAUUCCUCCCCUGGGCAGGGGGGGACACGGUCUAAUCUGGCGAAGGGCAAGGGGCCAGAAGCAGAGAAGGAGCCCCUGGGAUGAAAAGGGUGUUGGCUGGAAGUGAUGUCCCCCACGUGGAGAUACACGAAGUGUGGCGCGCUCCGUCGAGACCCAGCCGUCUUCCUCCCAUGCGUUUCCCCGAGAGAUGACAACGUACGUCCCAUAUAUUCUCGUACACAAAGGUGCACAGCGGCGGUGUUCAUGAAAGCUGAAAACUGGGGACAGCCCAGAUGGCCAUCCGCUGGUGACCAGGUAGGCUGUUGUGUCCACACAGUGGAAUCUUACUCAGGAAUAAAAAGAGGUGAACUGCUGGUACGCACGGCAGCGCAGAUAAGUCUCAAAACCGCUAUCAUGAGAGGGUGAACGGUUUCUGCAAAGGCCAGCUAGAGCAUUUCUGGGUUUGUGGGUCUUACCGUCUCUGUCUCGACUACUCAGCUCGACUCUUGUGGGGUGAAAGCCGCCACAGAUAAUGCGUCAACGAACGAGCGCGGCUGCACCCUAAUGAAACUUUGCUGAUGGACGCUGAAAUGGAAAGUCCACACAAGUUUCAUGUGUCACGAAAUAUGAUUCUUCUUUUGAGUUUUUUCAACCAUUAAAAAGUGUAAAAACCCAGCAACUCCCCUUCAUUGCUGGUGGGAAUGCAAAAGGGUGCAGCCACGUCAGGAGAUGGUUUGGUGGUUUCUUACAGAACUGAGCAUACUCUUUAGUAUUCGAUCCAGCAAUCCCGCCCCUGGGUAUUUUCCCAAACGAACUGAAAACUUACGUCCGUACAAAAACCUGCAUGCGGACGUUGACAGCAGCUUUAUUCAGAGCCACCCAGACUGGAAGCAACCAAGGUGCCCUCCUGGAGGUGGGGGAUCCACAACCUCUAGACGAUGGAAUAUUAUUCAGCGCCAAAAAGAAAUGAGCUGUCAGGCCAUGAAAAGACAGGAGGGAACCUCAAAUGCGUAUCACCAAGCGAAAGAAGCCAAUCUGAAAAGGCCACAUACUGUGUGAUCCCAACUAUGUGACGUUCUAGAAAAGGCAAAACUACGGGGACAGAAGAGGAUGAGCGGUUGCCAAAGGGUUGGGGGUUGUGAGCAGCUGACGCACAGAGGAUUUUUAGGAUUUUUUCUAUUCUGUCUGAUGUUGUAAUAAUAGACGCCUGUCGCUAUACAUUCGUCCAAACCCACAGAACGUGUGACACCAGGAGAGAACCCUCCUGUCCGUUGUGGACUUGUUAAUAGCCACCGGUCAGUGCUGAUUCGUGAGCUGCGGGACGCUGUAACGCAGGAUGCCGGGAGCAG
rnacentral:lncRNA from 1 species